CCCUUAGAUGUUCUGGGCCGCACGCGUGCUACACUGAUGCAUUCAACGAGUCUAAAACCUGGUCUGAUAGGGCUGGGUAAUCUUUUGAAAGUGCAUCGUGAUUGGGAUAGAUGAUUGCAAUUCUUCAUCUUCAACGAGGAAUGCCUAGUAAACGCAAGUCGUCAGCUUGCAUUGAUUACGUCCCUGCCCUUUGUACACACCGCCCGUCGCUCCUACCGAUUGAAUGAUCCGAUGAAUACCAUGGAUUGAGAGUACGAAUAGGUUCGCUUAUUUCUGCUGCUCGAGAAGUGGAGUAAAUCUUAUCAUUUAGAGGAAGGAGAAGUCGUAACA
rnacentral:rRNA from 1 species